rnacentral:lncRNA from 1 species
UUGAUAAGCAGAGAGAGAUUCUAAACUCCUUUGAUGGGAGGUGCUCAGCUCUGCCAGUUGCAGUUGUGAGACAUUUGAACAAGACACCAGACAGGAAACUGAUCUGAAUGUCUCGUCAAACCCAUGUCAGAAUGACUCACCACUUCAAAAGUCACAGUUGUUCUGGCCUCUAAAAGUUUCCUGCUACAGAUGCAAAACCUGCAGACAUUUUGGGGAGGACUGCUAUCCAUAUAACUAACUAAACUCGGCUGGCAAAAUGUAUGAUUAAUGGCAGUGGAGCCUUUCUUGGUUUGCGGCUGCAAAAGCAUCAGUGGUUUUCUGCUUAGAAACAGAUGGAUGAGUGUUUUGGAUAAACCAUCACUAAAUUCUUUGCUUGCACAGAGCCUGUGUGCUGACUUGAAGAGAGCCAUAUUCCUCUGGAUAUUCAAACAUGUUUUACAGCCAAUAUCUGUUGCAGGAACCAAGGACUCCUGAAGACACCUGGCUCCGCUGGGGCCUCUCCAGCUUCGGCACAGUGCAGAUGAGCUCUGGGGAGCUGGAGCCUGCGGGUGCCUGCGGGGCCGAGAGCGCACCGGGCAGCAGGUGGGUGCAGCCCUCC